AAGGAGAGUAUAAACACACAAACACCAGCAGGAUGGCAGCGACAGGCUAUGAUGGGUAAAGUUCAGCAACCUAAAUAAGACAGAAGGUGUACAUAGUUCAGGGUUAUGGGAGGUGGCGUGUCUGGGGGCAGACAGGGUUCAGGGUUAUGGGAGGUGGCGUGUCUGGGGGCAGACAGGGUUCAGGGUUAUGGGAGGUGGCGUGUCUGGGGGCAGACUGGGUUCAAGGUGAUGGGAGGUGGCGUGUCUGGGGGCAGACAGGGUUCAGGGUUAUGGGAGGUGGCGUGUCUGGGGGCAGACAGGGUUCAGGGUUAUGGGAGGUGGCGUGUCUGGGGG